AACGAACGCUGGCGGCAUGCCUAACACAUGCAAGUCGAACGAGACCUUCGGGUCUAGUGGCGCACGGGUGCGUAACGCGUGGGAAUCUGCCCUUGGGUACGGAAUAACAGUUAGAAAUGACUGCUAAUACCGUAUAAUGACUUCGGUCCAAAGAUUUAUCGCCCAGGGAUGAGCCCGCGUAGGAUUAGCUUGUUGGUGAGGUAAAAGCUCACCAAGGCGACGAUCCUUAGCUGGCUGAGAGGAUGAUCAGCCACACUGGGACUGAGACACGGCCCAGACUCCUACGGGAGGCAGCAGUGGGGAAUAUUGGACAAUGGGCGAAAGCCUGAUCCAGCAAUGCCGCGUGAGUGAUGAAGGCCUUAGGUUGUAAAGCUCUUUUACCCGGGAAGAUAAUGACUGUACCGGGAGAAUAAGCCCCGGCUAACUCCGUGCCAGCAGCCGCAGUAAG
rnacentral:rRNA from 1 species